AUAGCGUAUAUUAAAGUUGCUGCAGUUAAAAAGCUCGUAGUUGAAUUUCGGGACCAUCAUGUCGGUCGUGCCUCGGUACGUACUGGCAUUGUUGGUUUCUACCUUCUGACGAACCAUGAUGUCAUUUAUUUGGUGUCGUGGGGAAUCAGGACUGUUACUUUGAAAAAAUUAGAGUGUUUAAAGCAGGCUCACGCUUGAAUACAUUAGCAUGGAAUAAUGAAAUAGGACGUUUGAUUCUAUUUUGUUGGUUUCUAGGAUCGACGUAAUGAUUAAUAGGGAUAGUUGGGGGCAUUAGUAUUCAAUUGUCAGAGGUGAAAUUCUUGGAUUUAUUGAAGACUAACUACUG
rnacentral:rRNA from 1 species